GGAGGAUCAGGUCCCGUGUCCAGGGCCACAGCUGGAGCCAACAGGGAGUGACGGGACCCAGAGCUGCCGGGGCGGUGGUGCCGAGGGCGGAGAGAGAGGA